GCCGUUGCCGUUCCUUUCUUUUCCUCCCCUUGCCGUCCCCAAGAACUCGCCCCUCUCCAAACCUCAGGCCGGGGACUAGCGUCGGAGGAUCUCAUGGGAGCGGCGUCGUACGGUGCACGGUAGCAGAACGCCGAGCCCCGGUUCAGGAAGAAGUCAUAGAGAGAGCUAAAAAAGCCAAGAAGAAAGCUGCACUGGAGGUCAUGGAUGAACAAGUGGUCAUGUCAAAAUCUCUGAGGGCACCUUCAGAUACUGCAACUCCAGCUGAUUCACCUCCAUCUCCUGGUCCUAAAACGGAGGAUCCUUUCCAAGAGAUGUUGAUGGAUUAGCUUGGUCUUGCACUCUUUAGCUUUCUGUACAGAAAGUAAAUAUUUGUAACCAUAUCUUGAUGCUGUAGUAGAGGAUAGGCUCUCUGCAGCAUACAAUGAUCGAUGAAACAGGUGAUUAGGAGCAAUAUCUGGCCUUCAGUUAGCAAACCAUGCUUUGUGCUUGAUUCUUAGAUGUGAUGAUGCUUAAUUUUUUUUCUGGCAUGAAUAUGCAAUGCAGCAGCUCUUGCAUUUUUAUCCAAA